GUCUACGGCCAUACCACCCUGAACGCGCCCGAUCUCGUCUGAUCUCGGAAGCUAAGCAGGGUCGGGCCUGGUUAGUACUUGGACCUCGAAAGCAGAUCCCACCCUGUGGAGCCUUGGGACGGUCGUACUUC
rnacentral:rRNA from 1 species